GAACCUGGGGAAAGAUCCUUUUUGGAACCUGCCUAGCCGAACGACCCGAGAACUAGUUUCAAAGCGGGGGCCGAGGGGUCCUGCGGCUCCUCGUCCCCUUUAUCUCGGGGGGGUUGCGUUGCGCUCGCGCGGCCGACCCUUCCGGGCGUACAAACGAACACCGGCGCGAAUUGCGCCAAGGAAAUUGAACGAGAGAGCGCGUCCCCGUCGCCCCGGAAACGGUGUGCGAGGGCGGCGUCGUCAUCUUCAAAUAUGUCAAAACGACUCUCGGCAACGGAUAUCUCGGCUCUCGCAUCGAUGAAGAACGUAGCGAAAUGCGAUACUUGGUGUGAAUUGCAGAAUCCCGUGAACCAUCGAGUCUUUGAACGCAAGUUGCGCCCGAAGCCAUUAGGCCGAGGGCACGCCUGCCUGGGCGUCACACGUCGUUGCCCCCCCAUCAACUCCUUCGGGAUUGCGGGGGGCGGAUGAUGGCCUCCCGUGCGCCUCGCCGCGCGGUUGGCAUAAAUACCAAGUCCUCGGCGACGCACGCCACGACAAUCGGUGGUUGCGAGACCUCGGUUGCCCGUCGUGUGCGUUCGUCGCGCAUCGA
rnacentral:misc_RNA from 1 species